UGCCUCAGUAACGGCGAGUGAAGCGGCAACAGCUCAAAUUUGAAAUCUGGCGCCCUCGGCGUCCGAGUUGUAAUUUGUAGAGGAUGCUUCGGCGAGGGCCCCCGUCUAAGUCCCUUGGAACAGGGCGUCGCAGAGGGUGAGAAUCCCGUAUGUGAUGGGCAGCCCGAGCCGUGUGAAGCUCCUUCGACGAGUCGAGUUGUUUGGGAAUGCAGCUCUAAAUGGGAGGUAAAUUUCUUCUAAAGCUAAAUACCGGCCAGAGACCGAUAGCGCACAAGUAGAGUGAUCGAAAGAUGAAAAGCACUUUGGAAAGAGAGUUAAAAAGUACGUGAAAUUGUUGAAAGGGAAGCGCUUGCAACCAGACUCGCGCGCAGUCGCUCAGCCGGUCUCCUGACCGGUGUACUCUUCUGCGUCCGGGCCAGCAUCGGUUCGGGCGGUCGGAUAAAGGCCCCGGGAAUGUGGCUCCCCUCGGGGAGUGUUAUAGCCCGGGGUGCAAUGCGGCCAGCCCGGACCGAGGAACUCGCUUCGGCUAGGAUGCUGGCGUAAUGGUUGUAAGCGGCCCGUCUUGAAACACGGACCAAGGAGUCUAACAUCUAUGCGAGUGUUUGGGUGUCAAACCCAUGCGCGUAAUGAAAGUGAACGGAGGUGGGAACCCUCACGGGUGCACCAUCGACCGAUCCUGAUGUCUUCGGAUGGAUUUGAGUAAGAGCAUAGCUGUUGGGACCCGAAAGAUGGUGAACUAUGCCUGAAUAGGGUGAAGCCAGAGGAAACUCUGGUGGAGGCUCGCAGCGGUUCUGACGUGCAAAUCGAUCGUCAAAUUUGGGUAUAGGGGCGAAAGACUAAUCGAACCAUUAAGGGCCUUUCCGGCCGCUAGGUGGUUGAGAGGCCGCGCGACGGGAAAGCGCGGCCUAGUCCCUCCACUCGGGGCGACAUCAUCAAAUUGUUCGGGGACGUCCUUAGAGCUCAGGCCACCGCGGCGCCGCCGAAAGGCGGCGCGCAGCACCGGGGUAACGACCCAGGGGAUGGUAACAGCGCCCGAGAUUGGAUAAUCCGCAGCCAAGCCCCUAAGGGCCCGCGCCUCCGCGGGCCACGGGGAAGGUUCACAGACUAGAUGGUGAUGGGUGCGCCCGACGGGCGUGCUUAAGAUAUAGUCGACCCUCACGGAAACGUGAACGGCGGGACGAAGCCGGCAGGGGAGAGUGGGCGCCGCGGCGGCUCCCCCCGGCCCGAAUCCCGCCGCGGAGGCCCCACGCAGGUGGGCGCCUCCGGGGGCUACGUGCUAGUAGCUGGUUCCUGCCGAAGUUUCCCUCAGGAUAGCAGUAACGAAUUCAGUUUUAUGAGGUAAAGCGAAUGAUUAGAGGCCUUGGGGUUGAAACAACCUUAACCUAUUCUCAAACUUUAAAUAUGUAAGAAGUCCUUGUUGCUUAGUUGAACGUGGACAUUUGAAUGUACCGUUACUAGUGGGCCAUUUUUGGUAAGCAGAACUGGCGAUGCGGGAUGAACCGAACGCGAUGUUAAGGUGCCGGAAUGCACGCUCAUCAGACACCACAAAAGGUGUUAGUUCAUCUAGACAGCAGGACGGUGGCCAUGGAAGUCGGAAUCCGCUAAGGAGUGUGUAACAACUCACCUGCCGAAUGAACUAGCCCUGAAAAUGGAUGGCGCUCAAGCGUGCUACCCAUACAUCGCCGCCAGGGUAGAUACGAUGCCCUGGCGAGUAGGCAGGCGUGGAGGCCCGUGACGAAGCCUUGGGG
rnacentral:rRNA from 1 species